UUUAAGCAUUUCACCGCUUCUCACAACACGACUUCCUUCUCUAACUUGCUUCUAACAAGACGACAUUGAUUUCGCUCACUACCGUUGGCAUUCCAUUCUCUUCUGUUACUAACAACAAUCAUGGAUUAUUAUCCGAUCUUCUUCUUCAUUAAGUGCUGCGUUUUUCAGUUUGAAGAUGAAAGUGAGAUGUGCUCUAAAAUAAUUUAUUGCACAAACAUCAACAAAAAGCUGACUCAAGUUGAUGUGAACACUUCUUUGAAUCUAUCCGUGGAGAGUGAAGUUGCAAAGUGUUGACUUCUUUUAACCUUGCAAGCUGUGCAAAAUCUGGUUGACGAGGAGUUUCAAGGCAUUGUCCAUCUGCGCACUUCCAUGAUGCAUAAAAAGAUUUCUUCCGCUCGUCAUGAUUUUCUUAAACUUUCUGGUUCUGAGAACAAGCUGGAUGCAUUACUUCAGGUUGUUUCAUCAUGUUCAAGCCCUGCUAGUGCUCCCUUUGUAAUUGGCUAUGUCUAUGUUCUCAUUACAUCUCAGCUUGCCUCUGGAAUUACACUUCUGGUUGGAUGGGAAAAACUUUAUUCUGGCACCUUUUAUGGGACACUUCAAACAUGUGGUUAAAGAAAAUAGAGACAUCUUUUAUUAUUUUCUACAUGAGAUCUCUUCAAGAAUUGCUUAGCUAGUUAGAUGCAUAAUUAUAGUUGAAGUAGUUUUGAUAUGCAUGUAAUAAGUUGUUAUAAGUGAAGUAUUUUGAUAUGGAUGUAAUCUUAUAUUGUUUAC